rnacentral:piRNA from 1 species
UGAACUGUGGAAGAUAAAUGACAAAACU